AGGUGGAAAACCCUGUGAGGCUAUUGGGGAACUUGAAGACAGGAAAAAGAGAAGUUCCAGUCAUCAGUAUCAGCACCAGUUAGGAUGAAGGACAUAUUUGUUCUACCAAAGGAGCUAAAGAUACAGAAGACCAGUAAGGGAAAAGCUUCAUAGGACCCUGACUGUGGACUUAACGGGAGGAAGAAGACAUUAAAUCCUCACUGUCUCACUGUCUGCCCUCUGACAUCUUGGUCCAGAGCAGAGCUGACAUGCUGUUCUCCAGGUACUUCCUGGCAGAUGUGCUGCUCUUGGUGCUCCUUCAUGUGCCUGUGGUUUGGUCCAAGGACAGUGGAUAUGUUUGAUGUUGGGCCUUGCUUCAUGAGCAGAUGUAUGAAGUCAAAUAUCUGGUUUGUUGAAGAGAAGAAUACAGACAGUGUUGUUUCAUGUGAUUCUUCAUUUAGGGUUGACUCAUCUAGAAUUUUAUGCUUAAGAGGAUCAGUCUGUGAAUUUGAAGGGAUCAUCACAUUGCUGGAACACAAACUGUUACCUCUGAGCACCUUUCCUCCAAAUCUGCAUCUCAAAAUAUAGGAUUAUGACCUGUAGAUACAGUAAGGCUGGUGAAAGGUGGUGGGUUGCCAGCCCUGGACAUGAAGUACAACAUUUAUCUCCAGAACAGAGAUCAGAGGCAGCAGCUGUGCAAGCUUUCCCACGAAACGACUCCUCUGAACCACAAAAAGGAAC